UUUUAACUUGACAGUUGUUUCUGGUGUUGUCCUUAUGAUCUGUAAAGCAGGACAUGUCCUCCCCCUACAUAAAGGAGGCCUUCUGACUUACAUAACUAUCCAACAAUUAGAAAAUGAUCUUGCCUUCACAAAGUACUAGAAUCCCUGGACAACUAACUGUCAACUAAGAACAUCUUUAACUUCCCACUCUAUUCUUAAUGUGAACCAAUCAGGUUUUAGAAUCCCAUCUAUUCUUAAUGUGAACCAAUCAGGUUUUAGAAUCCCAUCUAUUCUUAAUGUGAACCAAUCAGGUUUUAGAAUCCCAUCUAUUCUUAAUGUGAUCAAAUCAGGUUUUAGAAUCCCAUCUAUUCUUAAUGUGAACCAAUCAGGUUUUAGAAUCCCAUCUAUUCUUAAUGUGAACCAAGCAGGUUUUAGAAUCCCAUCUAUUCUUAAUGUGAACCAAUCCGGUUUUAGAAUCCCAUCUAUUCUUAAUGUGAACCAAUCAGGUUUUAGAAUCCCAUCUAUUCUUAAUGUGAACCAAUCAGGUUUUAGACCUGGACAGAGCACAACAUUCCUUGCAUUUUUGUUUCCCUGGAGCCUCUAGUGCAGGUCAGGACUCUGGUGUUGAAUUAUUUCAAUGAAGAUUGUAUUUUACCCCUUUUUUUCUCCACAAUUUCGAUCUUGUCUCAUCGCUGCAACUCCCCAAUGGGCUCGGGAGGCAAAGGUUGAGUCACGUGUCCUCUGAAACAUGACCCACCAAACCACGCUUCUUAAAACCCGGAAGCCAGCCGCACCAAUGUGUCCGAGGAAAUACUAUUUAACUGACGACCGGGUUAGCCUGCAGGCGCCCUGACCCGCCACAAGGAGUCACUAGAGCGCGAUGAGCCAUGUAAAG